GAGAAUUGAUCCAAUGACUGCUGGUGUGUAGAAUGAAUUGCGAUGAAACAUCUCAUCCUACCUGCUCCUCAUUCCCUUUUCUGCCAACGAUUUAUCUUCAGAAGACAAGCAGAUGAGGAGACAAAACCUACUGAUGUGGGUACCCAAGCAGGAACCCCCCUCUUGCACCGGCGACUCACGUGGGAAGAAGAAUUCACUGAGCUGAAAUGGAGUGAGAGCUAAGAUGCUCUCAGAAUAUUCUUAAAAUGACUGUGCUGCAAAGAAGCCCGGGUGAAUAGAAGAAAAUAGAAGGAAUGGUGGAUACAAGUGAAGGUUAAAAUGAGACCCCAUUUAUCGCACCAGCUGUUGGUGAUUUCAGCGCACCUUUCCAAGCCUCUUGAGAGUUCUGCUCUAACCACACUGCCCCCUAGUGUUCUCUCGCUUUGGUGCAACUGCAGGUUUCUCAUACUUCCGGAGAAAUAGAAAGCACCAGAUGACAGCCACCACACACUUUUGUCCCCAUUGCAAUAGGAUGCUUCUAACAAUCGUAAAAUUAUGAAACACUGAAUUCCUUAAAAGUUGUCCAUUUGUGGAUUUAUCUGAUGGUAACUAUUAAAUAUUUAAAAGUAACUUUAAUGAAUCUACUUAUGAUGAUUGAGUAAUCUAUUCUCUGAAUUCCACCAAAAAACCAUUUUAUGACCACAGUCAUAACGAACAUAUUUCUAUAGUCCUAAGCUGGCAAGAUAAAUAGAGAACAGUUCAUAAUAUAAACAAUAUA